rnacentral:lncRNA from 1 species
GCCUCUCUGCUUUCACAGAGAGAGGAUGUAUAUUUCUUUUCUGUCUGCGUAGUUAGAAAUAAAACUCUUAGCAAUGUAGCUCAUAUUUCUCGUCCUCUUCUGCUGCUUGGACACUCUGCGUAAUGAGGGAACGUGCCUGGAGCCUCAUCAAAGGCUCAGGUCGUUAAUCACCGUCGGAGGACUUGACCGGAGGAGCAGCUCGGCCGAACGCAAGUUCCUACACCCUGAUCACUGGCCUCCAUGACUGGGACUGAUGGGAAUAAGAGUCCAGCAAAGUAAGGAGGACCACAAGUUCCCGAACUUACAUGAUUUACAUCUGAUACAGCUCUUUGUGUAUAGCCCAGAAUCACUCAACAGGUUCACAUCCCUUUGUAAUUUCAAGGAUUGACUUAUGUGCUGCUCUCUGGGUAGGGCUGCCCUUGGAGAUGUUUGGAAGCUGUAAGCGAGUAGAGAAUAUCAGGGGAGCACAUUUAACGGCUCUGUGGCAACCGCACAGACAGAAUGGGGACUAUGCUAGGUUUUUGGUGAUGUUGCAGUUCUGCCUUUUCCACGUUCACAGUUUUGAGACUUUACUUUGACUUGAUGGAUGGUGCAAAAACAUUUUCAAUCAGCAUCAUGAGUUGCCACAAGUGCAAAGGUGAGAUCAGUUUCAUUCCCGUCAAUCAAUGCUGAUCUUCCGUUGCAAUGUGCAGCCCCGUGGGGAUGUGGGCUGAGUUCGAUGGCACACUCUCUGUCUAUGCAGGGAAAUGGUGAGACAGAUCCUCCUAUUUGUUACAUUUAAAAAAUGCAACCUGUUUACCAAACAGUUAUCAUCUUGGCAGUGGCGGACAUGGGUACUAUGGCACCCUGUGCAAGGCCAACAUUUGGUGCCCCCUCAUUCCUUGCCCAAAUGAGGCACUUGGCUUUGGGAAGGAGGAGGGAAGACUCUGGCAGGGUCCUUUUGUCCUCCUACCUCCUUCCUGCAGCUGGGAAAGCACUAACUAGGUUUGGAAAGGAGAAGGGAGAACUCUAGGACCCUGUCAGAGCCUCAUGCUUCCUCCCCAAAGUCCAGUGCCUUGCUUAUCGGGCUUUGAGAUGGCGUCCCUUCAGGCCAGUGCCCAGCGAGUGAGCACCAUUCACAUGGCAAUAAAUCUGCCCUUGGUCUCAGUUCUUCUUCAGCGUGUUACCAAAGCGUCCUUGGAAAGAGAGGAUACAGGCAUUGUCCAGUUAUUUUGUGAAGUAUUCUGGAGUAGAGGGGGGAAAGAAUUUAUUUGAAAUAUUGGAACAGUCUCCCUCGGGAGGUUGUGGGUUCUCCUUUCUUGGAAUUUUCUAAGCAGAGGUUGGAUGGCCAUCUGCCAUGGAUGCUUUAGCAGAGAUUCUUGCAUUGUAGGGGGUUGGACUAGAUGACCCUUGGGGUCUAUGAUUCUAUGAAACAGGAGGGUUGAAAGAACAGGGCCAAAACAAGAGCAACACACCCUUCUGCUUUCAUUUUUGCUUGGCAGAGAGGAUGACUUAACAUUUGUCACAUCAACGGCAGAGGAAGGAACGCCGAGAAAAUAAGAGGCAUAAAUGUGUGAUUUCCUCACACGUUUCGUGAAGAGUCACCAAUAGCCUGAGAAGAUGGUCCUGCAUAUAGACAAGGUGCCGGCUGUUUCCUUUACUUUGAGCUACUUAACAGUGCCACCUGGUGCCUAAAGACCUAGCAGAUGUGGAAAUUUCACCCACCCAAAAAUGCCGCUCUCUUGCAAUCAGAGAGAUAGCAAAUGACAAGAGUUAGACACACAGCACAGACGUUCUUAUUGGCACUUCCAACCUAAAUUUAAACACUUUCACCACUCUCGUUUUCAGUGCAGAGGACAGAGUGCUCUCACCAUGGAGAUAAAAAAUACAGAGAAAAGCAGUGGGAGUCAUGAACAAUAUAAGAAAUAGCCUAUGUUAUUAACAAAAAUAGCAAGACAAUAUGUAGUAAUAAAACAUGCCAACC